rnacentral:rRNA from 1 species
CCUACGGGUGGCAGCAGUGAGGAAUAUUGGUCAAUGGACGCAAGUCUGAACCAGCCAUGCCGCGUGCAGGAAGACGGCUCUAUGAGUUGUAAACUGCUUUUGUACGAGGGUAAACGCAGAUACGCGUAUCUGUCUGCAAGUAUUGUACGAAUAAGGAUCGGCUAACUCCGUGCCAGCAGCCGCGGUAAUACGGAGGAUUCAAGCGUUAUCCGGAUUUAUUGGGUUUAAAGGGUGCGUAGGCGGUCGGAUAAGUUAGAGGUGAAAUCCCGAGGCUCAACUUCGGAAUUGCCUCUGAUACUGUUCGGCUAGAGAGUAGUUGCGGUAGGCGGAAUGUAUGGUGUAGCGGUGAAAUGCUUAGAGAUCAUACAGAACACCGAUUGCGAAGGCAGCUUACCAAGCUACUUCUGACGUUGAGGCACGAAAGCGUGGGGAGCAAACAGGAUUAGAUACCCCUGUAGUC